UGAAAAAAAAAAAAAAAAACCUAUUGUGAAGUUUGCUCAAAAAGUUAUACAUAUCAUGUCAUCCACCCUUUGCACUGAAAAAAAGAUAUAAAGAGAGAUAAAGUUAGAGAGAAAGGUGGGCAAUCUUGGCAUCCUUCAUUCAUCUCCUGUCAUAUAUAUACUGUGUAUAUUCAUCUAUCCCAUUACGAAAGAGUUCUGAGUCGUUUUCUUCUCCUUCACUAAUCACUCGCUUAUCUUUCUUCUCCUUCACAUCUUUCAGGAAGAGUGGUAGAUCGUCAUGUAUGUGAUAGUGAUAUCAGUGCCGAUGAUCAUUUUGCUGCUCAUCAUCGCCAUUGCUUGUUACCUAUUUGGAAGGUCUAGAGGCUGAGACUGAUCACCCAUCUUACGGUCAGGAGGAAGACAGACAGACAGAGUUUGAGUAGGAGGUUUCCCGAUUAGAUUUUGGGUGAAGAGAUCGAACAGUGAAGAGGGAAGUCUUAGUUUUAUUGAGUCAAAAGCAGCAGAAUGGGCUAUGUUAUUGUAAUAUCGUUACCCGUUAUAAUAUUGUUCAUUGUCACUGCCGUGGCUUGCUACCUAAUCGGCCGGAAACGUAGUCGUGAUAUAGCUGCAGGCAGAUAUCCUCAGCAUUACGGCCCACCAGCACCGCCGCUCGCCGUCAUGUCUCCACCGCCACCGGGAAAAGGACCUUACUAAUGUAUUACUGGCCUGGCUGCCUUGCUUCUUUGUCCAUGAUUAAUAAUUUUGGUACAAUGUGAAUGAGGUGUUUUAUUGUGCAAGCUAAGUGGGGAUUUUAAUAAUUGAGAGAUCAGACUUUUGAUUUGACAAUAAAGAAAUGAUAUAUGUUUGUUCUUCA